AUACGUAGGGGGCGAGCGUUGUCCGGAAUGACUGGGCGUAAAGGGCGUGUAGGCGGCGGUGUAAGUCUGGAGUGAAAGUCCCGCAUUCAAUGUGGGAAUUGCUUUGGAUACUGCAGUGCUAGAGUGCGGAAGAGGUAAGUGGAAUUCCCAGUGUAGCGGUGAAAUGCGUAAAGAUUGGGAGGAACACCAGUGGCGAAGGCGACUUACUGGGCCGUAACUGACGCUGAGGCGCGAAAGCGUGGGGAGCGAACAGGAUUAGAUACCCUGGUAGUCCACGCGGUAAACGAUGAAUGCUAGGUGUUGCGGGUAUCGACCCCUGCAGUGCCGGAGUAAACACAAUAAGCAUUCCGCCUGGGGAGUACGGCCGCGAGGUUGAAACUUAAAGGAAUUGACGGGG
rnacentral:rRNA from 1 species